AGUCGAGCGGUAACAGGAGUAGCUUGCUACUCGCUGACGAGCGGCGGACGGGUGAGUAACGCGUAGGAAUCUGCCUGGUAGUGGGGGACAACAUGUGGAAACGCAUGCUAAUACCGCAUACGCCCUACGGGGGAAAGGAGGGGAUCUUAGGACCUUUCGCUAUCAGAUGAGCCUGCGUGAGAUUAGCUAGUUGGUGGGGUAAAGGCUCACCAAGGCGACGAUCUCUAGCUGGUCUGAGAGGAUGAUCAGCCACACUGGGACUGAGACACGGCCCAGACUCCGACGGGAGGCAGCAGUGGGGAAUAUUGGACAAUGGGCGCAAGCCUGAUCCAGCCAUGCCGCGUGUGUGAAGAAGGCCUUCGGGUUGUAAAGCACUUUCAGAAGUGAGGAAGGGUGUGUAGUUAAUACCUACAUAUCUUGACGUUAGCUUCAGAAGAAGCACCGGCUAACUCUGUGCCAGCAGCCGCGGUAAUACAGAGGGUGCAAGCGUUAAUCGGAAUUACUGGGCGUAAAGC
rnacentral:rRNA from 1 species